UGGGGAAUAUUGCACAAUGGGGGAAACCCUGAUGCAGCGACGCCGCGUGAGCGAUGAAGUAUUUCGGUAUGUAAAGCUCUAUCAGCAGGGAAGAAAAUGACGGUACCUGACUAAGAAGCACCGGCUAAAUACGUGCCAGCAGCCGCGGUAAUACGUAUGGUGCAAGCGUUAUCCGGAUUUACUGGGUGUAAAGGGAGCGUAGACGGAGUGGCAAGUCUGAUGUGAAAACCCGGGGCUCAACCCCGGGACU
rnacentral:rRNA from 1 species